rnacentral:lncRNA from 1 species
CACCAUCAAAGUAUAAAGUUCAUCAACUGCUGGAAAGGGCGCACAUCUUUGUACAAGUGUCGUUCAUCAUGUACAAUCUUUGUACAAGUGUCGUCAUCAUCAUCUCCAUUACGUAGUAUUUGACGCAUCUAGCUGGUUGGUUCGUCCUUCUUAAGAGGCUGUUAACAUCGUCAUUCGGUUAAGUUUUGUCCUUGAUCAAUGGCGC